rnacentral:rRNA from 1 species
GGAUAAUCUACCCUUAGGACCGGGAUAACCCUGGGAAACUGGGGAUAAUACUGGAUAGGCAAUUAUUCCUGUAAUGGUUUUUUGUUUAAAUGUUUUUUCGCCUAAGGAUGAGUCUGCGGCCGAUUAGGUAGUUGGUUAGGUAAUGGCUUACCAAGCCGUUGAUCGGUACGGGUUGUGAGAGCAAGAGCCCGGAGAUGGAACCUGAGACAAGGUUCCAGGCCCUACGGGGUGCAGCAGGCGCGAAACCUCCGCAAUGUGAGAAAUCGCGACGGGGGGAUCCCAAGUGCCAUUCUUAACGGGAUGGCUUUUCAUUAGUGUAAAGAGCUUUUGGAAUAAGAGCUGGGCAAGACCGGUGCCAGCCGCCGCGGUAACACCGGCAGCUCUAGUGGUAACAAUUUUUAUUGGGCCUAAAGCGUCCGUAGCCGGUUUAAUAAGUCUCUGGUGAAAUCCUGCAGCUUAACUGUGGGAAUUGCUGGAGAUACUAUUAGACUUGAGACCGGGAGAGGUUAGAGGUACUCCCAGGGUAGAGGUGAAAUUCUGUAAUCCUGGGAGGACCGCCUGUUGCGAAGGCGUCUAACUGGAACGGUUCUGACGGUGAGGGACGAAAGUUAGGGGCGCGAACCGG